GCCUGGGUGGCUCAGUCGGUUAAGCGUCCGACUUCGGCUCGGGUCACGAUCUCGCAGUCCGUGGGUUCGAGCCCCGCCUCGGGCU
rfam:Felis catus isolate Cinnamon breed Abyssinian chromosome F1, whole genome shotgun sequence.